rnacentral:rRNA from 1 species
AGUGAACGCUGGCGGCGUGUUUAACACAUGCAAGUCGAACGAGAACGGAUUAUAGCUUGCUAUAAUUGUCAGCUAAGUGGCGCACGGGUGAGUAAUGUAUAGGUAAUAUGCCUCUUACUAAGGGAUAACAAAUGGAAACGUUUGCUAAUACCUUAUACUCCUUAUUAACAGAAGUUAAUAAGGGAAAGAUUUAUUGGUAAGAGAUUAGCCUGUAUUGUAUCAAUUAGUUGGUGGGGUAAUGGCCUACCAAGACUAUGACACAUAACUGGUUUGAGAGGAUGAUCAGUCACACUGGAACUGAGACACGGUCCAGACUCCUGCGGGAGGCAGCAGUGGGGAAUAUUGCACAAUGGACGAAAGUUUGAUGCAGCAACGCCGCGUGGAGGAUGACACAUUUCGGUGCGUAAACUCCUUUUAUAUGAGAAGAUAAUGACGGUAUUAUAUGAAUAAGCACCGGCUAACUCCGUGCCAGCCGCCGCGGUAA